UCUGCUAACAAUAACACUGCUACUCAUCCCCCUCCAAAAACACAAAAACAUUCAAAAUAAGUGGAGGAGGAUUCCCUUCCAAAUAGAAUAUACAAGAAGGAGAAGUAGCCAAUCGAGAAAUGCCAAAAUGGACUGUUUCCUGGAAGGGUUUCAACAUUUCUUAAAUACUCUGUGAGAAGCUAACUGAACUGCAGCCAUACCGUCCGUCAAGCAUGGAACUUGGGGAUUUGUUUCUGUUUCCAUCUUGUCGCAGCCAGCAUAAACUGAGAUUCUUCCACAAGUUUUAUUAAACAGCUUCCUGAAUCCUUUUUCAACGUGAACCUUGCCCUGCCAUUUCUGCCAUGUGAUUGAGGCAGAAAACUCAUUCUCUUAUGCCAGAAGAUUUAAUUUAAAAGAUUUCAUUCCAUUCCACAGCCCAGG